rnacentral:lncRNA from 1 species
AACUCCGGGAAUUGGUGGAAAAAUUGGAAUUUCCGGGCGGGAAUUCCUCAAUUUUGGGUGAAAAUUCUUCGAUUUUGGGUGGGACUUCUUCGAUUUCCGGUGGGAAUUCGGCAAUUUUGGGUGAAAAUUCAGUAAUUUCGGGUGGGAAUUCUUCGAUUUUGGGUGGGAAUUCCUCGAUUUUGGGUGGAAAUUCCUCAAUUUCGAGUGGGAAUUCCCCUAUUUCAUGUGGGAAUUCCUCGAUUUUGGGUGAAAAUUCAGCAAUUUUGUGUGGGAAUUCCUCGAUUUCGGGUGGAAAUUCUGCGAUUUCCGGUGGGAAUUCCUCGAUUUCGGGUGAAAAUUCAGCAAUUUCGGGUGGAAAUUCGGCAGUUUUGUGCAGGAAUUCCCUGAUUUUGGGCGGGAAUUCCUCGAUUUCGGGUGGGAAUUCCUCAAUUUUGGGUGAAAAUUCAGCAAUUUUGGGUGGGAAUUCCUCGAUUUCCUGCGGGAAUUCCGCGAUUUUGGGUGAAAAUUCAGCAAUUUCGGGUGGAAAUUCGGCAGUUUUGUGCAGGAAUUCCUCGAUUUCGGGCGGGAAUUCCUCGAUUUUGUGUGAAAAUUUCUCGAUUUUGGGUGAAAACUCGGCAAUUUUGGGCGGGAACCCCUCGGUCCCGGCCUGCCCUCACCUGUGCCAGGUGUGUGGGCGGGGCCGGGACCCCCAAACCCCGAACCCGGAGGAGGACGAGGCACGCUCAGAACCCCCCGAAAUUCCGGCAGAUCCCGAAAAUCCCGACGGACCAGGGGAGGUGCCCCCUCAGCCGAGCCCGACCCCCGCUGGAGACCCCGGAGCUCCGGGGGAAUAAUUUGGGAAUGAGGGGAAAAGGACGGAAUUCCCAAAAUUCCCCAAAAUUCCCAGAAAACGCCCCAAAACCGCCCCCGUCUUCCCACAUAAAAUUAAAUCCCUUUGCUGACCCUCCCCCCCCGUCCUCCCGCUGCCUCCCGCGUGUGAUUCGGUGCUGAGGGGGGGAGGGGAGGGGAAGGGAUGAGGGGGGAGCCCCAAAACCGAGAGGAUUCACCCCAAAAUUUCCGCCGGGCAAAAUGGCGGCGCCCUCAACAAAGAUGGCGG